AGAUAAAAAUAAAAAUAACUUUAGACGGCAAGACGCGCUUUAAAUAAUAAUAAUUAUUAAUAUAAUAGUUUUGUGGUGAUAAUAAUAAUGAUAAAGAGACUUAAAAGCCCCGACUAAAAGAUGUAUAGUUGUUUUGGUACGUGUGUGCUUGGUGUGUAUAUGGUAAAAUCGGGUAUUCGUCGUCGAUGUAGCUUCAUUCAUGCCCGCGGGAAUUGCGACGCCCGUGUAUCUUAAGAAACACCGCUAGGAGAUAAUAGCACGCGGACUCCAAAUAAAAGGCAUCAACUGUGCUCUACUACUCUUGUUUGGAGAUAUUUAUGACACCCAUUCAUCUUAAAUCAUUUUUACUGACAUUAUAUUGCACUUAUAAGCCGUAAAAGGAUUUGUCUGGUUUGAUGUUUAUAUGACCGCAUAUGAAUACGAUACGAUAUAUGAUAAUAAAUGAUGAAAUGAAUCGUCAAGAAUAAAAAUAACUGAAUAAUCCUCUUUUUCUCUACAUAUGUAUACAUAUACAACGGCUCUCUACUCUCAUCUCAUCUUUAACUUGGUUGACGUUGUAUAUAUAUGUUGGAUCGCGGCUCUCGACGUUUCUUCAAAGUGAAGCUAAUCCUCCAACCCGUUCUCUUACUCUGACUUAAACUUGUCUCUGAACUACCAUACACCGCACAUAUACAUAUACACAUACCUAUGUAUUAUAUGUACAAUAUAAUACAAUACAAGGCAUAUAUGUAAUACUCUUCUUUCUCUCGUCUGUCUUUGUCUCUGGUCUCAGUACCCUCCGUACUCUAAAGAGCGUUUGAUCCUUCCGUCCAUGCGGUUUUCCAAACGUCCCACGAGUCAAGUCAUGUGGCACGUUUUAAGUUCAUUGAGGGCUAAAACACGUUUUACGUAAACAACUUGCCGAGAUAUGUGCAUAUCUGUAUACAAUGCAACACAAUGACAAUAACGACUAACAACUAAAAAAUUUAAUUUUUCUUCUUAUUGCAAAUCCUUUUAAAUUUAAUAUGAUAAACAAAAUAAAACCUCUAGAAUAUUUUUUAUUUUUUGCAUAUUUAAAUUUAUGAUUUUUGCAAUGGAUUUUAUUAGAUUGCCUGAAAGAAAAUCUUUA